CAGCCGCCGCGGUAAUACGAAGGUGGCAAGCGUUGUCCGGAAUUAUUGGGCGUAAAGGGCUCGCAGGCGGUUUCUUAAGUCUGAUGUGAAAGCCCCCGGCUCAACCGGGGAGGGUCAUUGGAAACUGGGAAACUUGAGUGCAGAAGAGGAGAGUGGAAUUCCACGUGUAGCGGUGAAAUGCGUAGAGAUGUGGAGGAACACCAGUGGCGAAGGCGACUCUCUGGUCUGUAACUGACGCUGAGGAGCGAAAGCGUGGGGAGCGAACAGGAUUAGAUACCCAGUAGUCCCUGUCUCUUAUACA
rnacentral:rRNA from 1 species